rnacentral:rRNA from 1 species
UACGAAGGGGGGCUAGCGUUGCUCGGAAUCACUGGGCGUAAAGGGUGCGUAGGCGGGUCUUUUAAGUCAGGGGUGAAAUCCUGGAGCUCAACUCCAGAACUGCCUUUGAUACUGAGGAUCUUGAGUACGGGAGAGGUGAGUGGAACUGCGAGUGUAGAGGUGAAAUUCGUAGAUAUUCGCAAGAACACCAGUGGCGAAGGCGGCUCACUGGCCCGAUACUGACGCUGAGGUGCGAAAGCGUGGGGAGCAAACAGG